GACGUAGGGCGCGAGCGUUGUCCGGAUUUAUUGGGCGUAAAGAGCUCGUAGGCGGCUUGUCGCGUCGACUGUGAAACCCGCGGCUCAACUGCGGGCCUGCAGUCGAUACGGGCAGGCUAGAGUUCGGUAGGGGAGACUGGAAUUCCUGGUGUAGCGGUGAAAUGCGCAGAUAUCAGGAGGAACACCGGUGGCGAAGGCGGAUCUCUGGGCCAUUACUGACGCUGAGGAGCGAAAGCGUGGGGAGCGAACAGG
rnacentral:rRNA from 1 species